rnacentral:misc_RNA from 1 species
UUUUUUUUUUUUUUCUUUUUAAAAGACCACCAUCGAUCCAUGUUCAGUUUCUUGGCUCUUUUGUUUUUGCGGUCCAGUUUGUUUGGAUACUAUAGUUGUGAAAAGAAACGGAUAGCUCCUUCACAUGUACCAGUUGCUUCAAAAUUAUUGAUGAAUGGAAAUAAAUUAUGCUGUCAGCUAGCUACCUACUUUCCUUUCAUAAAAGAGAACUUCAAUGUUAGAACGUUGGUAGCAGCCACUAUCUGCCUUGCUUAAUAUUCAUCUUAAUUGGUUGUGUUUGUUAUUAUAAUAGUUAGUUACUGAGAGAUUAAAAUUAAAUUUAAAUGCUUAAUUAAUUAAUUAAUAGAAAAAAAUUGAAAAUUAUGGAACAUUAUAGUGAAAUUAUGGAAAUAUUAAUGAUUUAAAUGGAUUUGAUGCAGGACAUGCUAUCGCAGCAAGGUCAACUAGACCAUGCUGCCGCCUACAUAAAGCACCUGAAAGAAAGAAUAGAGAAAUUAAAGAAGAAAAAGGAACAGGCAAUGGGAACUUCGGUAGCUAAUAAUAGCACCAUGGAUGCAAUGAUGAUGGGAU